rfam:Pteropus alecto contig91146, whole genome shotgun sequence.
GGUUCCAUAGAGUAGUAGUUAGCACGUCAGCUUUACAUGCAGGAGGUCCUGGGUUUGAGCCCCAGUGGAACCA